rnacentral:rRNA from 1 species
GACGAACGCUGGCGGCGUGCCUAAUACAUGCAAGUUGAGCGCUGAAGGUUGGUACUUGUACCAACUGGAUGAGCAGCGAACGGGUGAGUAACGCGUGGGGAAUCUGCCUUUGAGCGGGGGACAACAUUUGGAAACGAAUGCUAAUACCGCAUAAAAACUUUAAACACAAGUUUUAAGUUUGAAAGAUGCAAUUGCAUCACUCAAAGAUGAUCCCGCGUUGUAUUAGCUAGUUGGUGAGGUAAAGGCUCACCAAGGCGAUGAUACAUAGCCGACCUGAGAGGGUGAUCGGCCACAUUGGGACUGGGACACGGCCCAAACUCCUACGGGAGGCAGCAGUAGGGAAUCUUCGGCAAUGGACGAAAGUCUGACCGAGCAACGCCGCGUGAGGGAAGAAGGGUGUCGGAUCGUAAAACUCUGUUGGUAGAGAAGAACGUUGGUGAGAGUGGAAAGCUCAUCAAGUGACGGUAACUACCCAGAAAGGGACGGCUAACUACGUG